CAGCAGCCGCGGGAAUACGUAGGUGGCAAGCGUUGUCCGGAAUUAUUGGGCGUAAAGGGCUCGCAGGCGGUUUCUUAAGUCUGAUGUGAAAGCCCCCGGCUCAACCGGGGAGGGUCAUUGGAAACUGGGAAACUUGAGUGCAGAAGAGGAGAGUGGAAUUCCACGUGUAGCGGUGAAAUGCGUAGAGAUGUGGAGGAACACCAGUGGCGAAGGCGACUCUCUGGUCUGUAACUGACGCUGAGGAGCGAAAGCGUGGGGAGCGAACAGGAUUAGAUACCCGUGUAGCCCCUGUCUCUUAUAC
rnacentral:rRNA from 1 species